GCCGAGGCGGGCAUGUGAUCCUAAAAAUGGCACAGAGAUGGACUCCUCCACAAGGAUGCUCACUGCAGUGGAAAAAGUGGAAAGAAACCAAAUGCCCAAGAACAGAGCUGGUGGAGAACAGUGACUCAGAAAAACACCUGGUGAGCCAGCAAGGUAGAAGGUGAAGUCACCUGAGCAAAUGAUCACGUGUCAUUACAUAGUGAAGCAGGCUAUGAAAUGCGUGAUUCCCAUGAUGUGGAGAGAGACGCUCAGGACACACUGAAGGUUUUAUACCAAAUAACAAGUCAUCUUUGAAUGAUAGGAUUAUGACCAUUUUCUUCUUUGGAAUUUUCCUCUUAUUUUCUAAAUUUUCUACAAUAAAAUGUAUGGAGUUUAUAGCCAGAAAGAAAGAAAGUAAGAAAUUCUGUAAAAACAAGUCAAACCUCGAUAUAUUCAGUUCAAGCCAGGACUUGGAGUGGCACUUAUUCUGUUUCAUUCUUCUUUUGCGUAACCUUCAGCUCAAAAUCAUUGUGGAAACAUAAAC